rnacentral:rRNA from 1 species
UACGUAGGGUGCAAGCGUUAAUCGGAAUUACUGGGCGUAAAGCGUGCGCAGGCGGUUAUGUAAGACAGAUGUGAAAUCCCCCGGGCUUAACCUGGGAACUGCGUUUGAAACUACAAGGCUAGAGUGUGGCAGAGGGGGGGUGGAAUUCCACGUGUAGCAGUGAAAUGCGUAGAGAUGUGGAGGAACACCGAUGGCGAAGGCAGCCCCCUGGGUUAACACUGACGCUCAGGCACGAAAGCGUGGGGAGCAAACAGG